GGGUUGUGAGGUUAAGCGACUAAGCGUACACGGUGGAUGCCCUGGCAGUCAGAGGCGAUGAAGGACGUGCUAAUCUGCGAUAAGCGUCGGUGAGGUGAUAUGAACCGUUAUAACCGGCGAUUUCCGAAUGGGGAAACCCAGUGUGUUUCGACACACUAUCAUUAACUGAAUCCAUAGGUUAAUGAGGCGAACCGGGGGAACUGAAACAUCUAAGUACCCCGAGGAAAAGAAAUCAACCGAGAUUCCCCCAGUAGCGGCGAGCGAACGGGGAGGAGCCCAGAGCCUGAAUCAGUGUGUGUGUUAGUGGAAGCGUCUGGAAAGGCGUGCGAUACAGGGUGACAGCCCCGUACACAAAAAUGCACAUAUUGUGAGCUCGAUGAGUAGGGCGGGACACGUGGUAUCCUGUCUGAAUAUGGGGGGACCAUCCUCCAAGGCUAAAUACUCCUGACUGACCGAUAGUGAACCAGUACCGUGAGGGAAAGGCGAAAAGAACCCCGGCGAGGGGAGUGAAAAAGAACCUGAAACCGUGUACGUACAAGCAGUGGGAGCCUCUUAAUGGGGUGACUGCGUACCUUUUGUAUAAUGGGUCAGCGACUUAUAUUCUGUAGCAAGGUUAACCGAAUAGGGGAGCCGAAGGGAAACCGAGUCUUAACUGGGCGUUAAGUUGCAGGGUAUAGACCCGAAACCCGGUGAUCUAGCCAUGGGCAGGUUGAAGGUUGGGUAACACUAACUGGAGGACCGAACCGACUAAUGUUGAAAAAUUAGCGGAUGACUUGUGGCUGGGGGUGAAAGGCCAAUCAAACCGGGAGAUAGCUGGUUCUCCCCGAAAGCUAUUUAGGUAGCGCCUCGUGAAUUCAUCUCCGGGGGUAGAGCACUGUUUCGGCAAGGGGGUCAUCCCGACUUACCAACCCGAUGCAAACUGCGAAUACCGGAGAAUGUUAUCACGGGAGACACACGGCGGGUGCUAACGUCCGUCGUGAAGAGGGAAACAACCCAGACCGCCAGCUAAGGUCCCAAAGUCAUGGUUAAGUGGGAAACGAUGUGGGAAGGCCCAGACAGCCAGGAUGUUGGCUUAGAAGCAGCCAUCAUUUAAAGAAAGCGUAAUAGCUCACUGGUCGAGUCGGCCUGCGCGGAAGAUGUAACGGGGCUAAACCAUGC
rnacentral:rRNA from 1 species